rnacentral:misc_RNA from 1 species
AUGUGAUCACUGUCAACCAUGGGAUACUAGCAUACAAGUUACGGGUUCUAGAGUUGAAACCUUCCUCUAGUGUCUCUGUCCUGGAAACAGAUAUUGAGGUUGAUGUAGUUGGUCCAGAUUCAGUUUCAGAGAGCACAAAUCAACAUGUCCUGAAGCCACUUAAUUUUGGAAUGUCAGAGGCUGUAAUGGUUGAAGAAGGGAACUAUGAUUAUU